rnacentral:tRNA from 1 species
UUAUAUAUAGCUUAAUGGAUAAAGCAAUCGACUUUUAAUCGAUGUAUUAAGGUUCGAUUCCUUAUAUAUAAA